rnacentral:lncRNA from 1 species
GUGUUAAUAAAGGUUCAAGUUUGGGGUUGUUGGGGGAAAUUGAAAGGCAAAAGAAAGGUAUUGAGCUCAAGUGUUGAAUGAAAAAGAAUGAGAAAAGAAAAGCAAAGCAAAGAAAAAGCAUGAAAAGUGAGCUCAAAAGGAAAGCUGGGAAUGAGUGAGAUUGGUAAAAAGAGAGUUUGUGCGUGAACUAUGAAUGAUGAAUGACUCUCUUAACUCAAGGAUUUUGUGAUCUGAAAAAAAA